AAGGUUUCGUUUCAUUAUACAUAUAUAGAGAUAUACGUCAGUUUUUGACCCAAAAAAAUUCUACUUUGUUUUUUAGGGUGCUAAAAUCCAAGCAACAUGCAAAAGAUCUCAUAUAGAUUAUUGAUUCUUGACACUAUAGCUAAAACAAUUGUUGGUAACAAUGCUGUUGUAACUUUGGGAUGGUUCAUAUGAUGAGAUUCAAGACCCAGAAAUACUACCACUGCUUAUUCAAAACUUGGUUGGAAAUAUUUUUGUUUUGGUCUUAACAUAACCAGUGAUAAUGUUACAAACGGAUCUGACACUUUUAAGAUCUCCGAGGUCUGGUCUGAAGAUCAUAUUCAAAGAAUUGAAUCACUCUCACGACCAAUCUCAUUAAUUGAGAGCUUGAUGGGCAGUCUCGUGGAGAGCUUCCUGCGCUUGAUCAUAACAAUGAGAACUCAUUUGAAUAUUUUUCCACACAAAGUAACAAGCGUAAAGAAGAUGAGGUUUAUCAAAUGGACAUCUAAGAAGGAAAAGACAAAAUGAAUAGGGAUGAUUUGGCCACCUAAUUAAGAGUUUUUUUGGUUUGAUAGAUAUUUGUUAUGAUAUUCUGUUACCAUAAAAUAUUAUAGAUGGUUGAUAAUUCAAUAUUAACAUUAACUACGUAAAAUACCAAAAUCAAGUUGCAGUAGAACUAAAACAAUAAAUCUGUGUGACUAUUAGGUUUAAUUCUUCUUCUGAACAUCUCUUUUUCAAGAGUCAUUGAAUAAAGUAUAAAAUAAAUCAUUG